GUUAAAAGGUGGAUUCCCCUUGUUACUCUGCUAGGGAAAGGAUUCUGUACUAAAGCCCUGCUUUCCAGAGGAGAGGGAUGUAAAGUGAAAUCAUUCUACGUUGAGGUACUGCUGUUUUAAAAUCAUGAUGUUACAUCGGCUACAAUGUAGUUACACCAUGGGGCAAUUUAACUCUACUGAGACACAGCGUAAGACACUCAACUGUUCUAAGGCACAUGGUACCCGCGUCCCUGAAGGCUGGAGGUACUUGUCAACUGCUUGCAGAAAUGACCCUGACUUGGUUGGCCAUUCCUACACUGAUAUCCAUUAGCUUCAUGUUUAAAAACUCAGCAGAGUAGUUACACCAUGGAUUAGGACCCUAUUAUAGUCAAUGGUAAAGCUCCCAGUGACUUCAGUGUUAGGGGAGCAAAGGUGGGCCUUGUGUAAUAGCCCAGAUCUUCCCAAUGAACUUACUUUUUUUUUUUUUUUUUUGGGAAUUCACAUACCAGGUAGCCAAGAGCAGUUCUAAUGUGCUGCUGUGUAUUCAUCUGGCCUUCCUGCACAAAAGGGUCAUUUGUGCUUGUUACCAGUCUUUCAUUGUGCCUUCUUUGUAUUAGCAUCUACUGUAGAAGGUGUUAACGGGCAGCCAAAUUCUGAGCUCAGUUACUCCAAUAUGAAUCAAUGAAGUUACUCCAGAUUUACUGCAGUAUAACUGAGAUCAGAAGCACAGAUCAGCUCAGUUUGGUAACUAAGUUACACAUUGGAAGAGCUUUAAACAAAUAUAAACAUUUCCCCGGAACAUUUGUGUCUCGUAGCUACCUAGAUAGCUCCUAUUGCCAUGACACCAGAGUACCUUCUUAGUAUUUAUGGAUUUACAGAGCAUCUCUGUAAGGAAGGGAAGCACAAUUAUACCCGUAUUACAGAUGGAGGCACAGAGAGAGUAAGUGACUUGCCCAAGAUCACACAAAGUCUGUGACAGACCUAAGAAGUAAACCCAGACCUCCCCGAUCCCAGCCCACUACCUUAACCCCAAAACCAUCCAGAGGAGAGAAAUUACUGCUCUGCAUUGCAGUUCCUAUAUACACUGGCACAAAGAGGGGGAAGCUUUGAGAAAGAUAUCAUUGCCCCAUCUGAGCCCUUCAUGGACAUUAAAUAAGGUCCAGCAGUGAGAGAGUUGGCAAAUAUGGCCUU